GUCACAAUCGGGAUAAUGCAUAGUUUUAAUUAUCACACAAUGAUUAGACAUCUGACACCCCCUCACACCCCCCAAACACCAAAAUACAAGCAGUUAAUUGCAGCAACAAAAAUUGCCUGACAUAUGUCUUGAAACUGAAGCUCUGUCGACCCCUUGCUGGUGGAGGACUGAAAUUACUGCAAAAUAACAUCCCAAUUAUUUCUCUGGUGCCCUAGAUUCCAUAGACCCAACAGAUAAUCAACUCUAUUUUUAACAUUAAACAUUCUGUCACCUUACUGUUGAAGCUUAAAUAUUCCA